GACAGAGGGUGCAAACGUUGUUCGGAAUUACUGGGCGUAAAGCGUGUGUAGGCGGCCGCGCAAGUCGGAUGUGAAAGCCCCGGGCUCAACCCGGGAAGUGCACCCGAUACUGCAUGGCUCGAGUACUGGAGAGGUUGGUGGAAUUCUCGGUGUAGAGGUGAAAUUCGUAGAUAUCGAGAGGAACACCGGUGGCGAAGGCGGCCAACUGGACGAGAUACUGACGCUGAGACACGAAAGCGUGGGGAGCAAACAGG
rnacentral:rRNA from 1 species